rnacentral:tRNA from 1 species
GGUACCAUGGCUUAGCUGCCUAAAGCACCUGCCUACUAAACAAGUGAUCCUGGGUUCAACUCCCAGUGGUGUUU